rnacentral:rRNA from 1 species
AGAGGGUGCAAGCGUUAAUCGGCAUUACUGGGCGUAAAGCGUGCGUAGACGGUUGCGUAAGUCAGAUGUGAAAGCCCCGGGCUCAACCUGGGAAUUGCAUUUGAGACUGCGUAGCUAGGGUGCGGAAGAGGGAAGCGGAAUUUCCGGUGUAGCGGUGAAAUGCGUAGAUAUCGGAAGGAACACCAGUGGCGAAAGCGGCUUCCUGGUCCAGCACCGACGUUCAGGCACGAAAGCGUGGGGAGCAAACAGG